CCCUUGGGAGGCAGCAGUGGGGAAUAUUGGACAAUGGGCGCAAGCCUGAUCCAGCCAUACCGCGUGGGUGAAGAAGGCCUUCGGGUUGUAAAGCCCUUUUGUUGGGAAAGAAAAGCAGUCGGCUAAUACCCGGUUGUUCUGACGGUACCCAAAGAAUAAGCACCGGCUAACUUCGUGCCAGCAGCCGCGGUAAUACGAAGGGUGCAAGCGUUACUCGGAAUUACUGGGCGUAAAGCGUGCGUAGGUGGUUGUUUAAGUCUGUUGUGAAAGCCCUGGGCUCAACCUGGGAAUUGCAGUGGAUACUGGGCGACUAGAGUGUGGUAGAGGGUAGUGGAAUUCCCGGUGUAGCAGUGAAAUGCGUAGAGAUCGGGAGGAACAUCCAUGGCGAAGGCAGCUACCUGGACCAACACUGACACUGAGGCACGAAAGCGUGGGGAGCAAACAGGAUUAGAUACCCUGGUAGUCCACGCCCUAAACGAUGCGAACUGGAUGUUGGGUGCAAUUUGGCACGCAGUAUCGAAGCUAACGCGUUAAGUUCGCCGCCUGGGGAGUACGGUCGCAAGACUGAAACUCAAAGGAAUUGACGG
rnacentral:rRNA from 1 species